CCUACGGGAGGCUGCAAUGAGGAAUAUUGGUCAAUGGACGAGAGUCUGAACCAGCCAAGUAGCGUGAAGGAUGACUGCCCUAUGGGUUGUAAACUUCUUUUAUAUGGGAAUAAAAUGUUCCACGUGUGGGAUUUUGUAUGUACCAUAUGAAUAAGGAUCGGCUAACUCCGUGCCAGCAGCCGCGGUAAUACGGAGGAUCCGAGCGUUAUCCGGAUUUAUUGGGUUUAAAGGGAGCGUAGGUGGAUUGUUAAGUCAGUUGUGAAAGUUUGCGGCUCAACCGUAAAAUUGCAGUUGAAACUGGCAGUCUUGAGUACAGUAGAGGUGGGCGGAAUUCGUGGUGUAGCGGUGAAAUGCUUAGAUAUCACGAAGAACUCCGAUUGCGAAGGCAGUUCACUGGACUGCAACUGACACUGAGGCUCGAAAGUGUGGGUAUCAAACGGGAUUAGAUACCCCAGUAGUC
rnacentral:rRNA from 1 species